UUGCGGCCAUAUCACAUUGAAACAGUGAUUCCCAUUCAAUCGCCGAAGUUAAGCAUCGUCAAGCCUCGUCAGUAUCUAGAUGGGUGAUCGCUUGGAAAUACCAGG